GACGAACGCUGGCGGCGUGCCUAAUACAUGCAAGUCGAACGCAGUGGGGACGGGUGAGUAACACGUGGGUAACCUCCCAUCAGAGGGGAGAACACUUGGAAACAGGUGCUAAACCGAGACUGAAGGAUGGACCCGCGGUGCAUUAGCUAGAUGGUGAGGUAACGGCUCACCAAGGCCACGAGGCAUAGCCUACCUGUGAGGGUGAUCGUCCACACUGGGACUGAGACACGGCCCAGACUCCUACGGGAGGCAGCAGUAGGGAAUCUUCGUCAAUUGACGAAAGUCUGACCGAGCAACGCCGCGUGAGUGAAGAAGGUUUUCGGAUCGUAAAACUCUGUUGUUAGAGAAGCGGUAUCUAACGAAUAAGCACCGGCUAACUCCGUGCCAGCAGCCGCGGUAAUAC
rnacentral:rRNA from 1 species